UCUCCUAUAGCUCAGUUGGUAGAGCGUGCGGCUGUUAACCUCCAAGGUCGCUGGUUCAAACCCAGCUGGGAGAG
rfam:Phytophthora infestans T30-4 supercont1.4 genomic scaffold, whole genome shotgun sequence.